UAUCCGUAGGUGAACCUGCGGAGGGAUCAUUAUUGUAUAACCGAGUUGCGAGGGCUGUCGCUGACCCGACAUGUCGUGCAGGCCCGAGUGCCCGCACACACAUCCGGCUCACCCCUAUGUGCACCACCGCGUGGCUGCGCCAUUGGCUUGUUCGAAUUUGAGCUUACGUUUUCACACAAGCUUUGUAUCCAAAGUAGAAUAUAUUUUUUUUUUUUGCUAUCAUGCAUUCAAUACAACUUUCAACAGCGGCUCUCUUGUCUCUCACAUCGAUGAAGAACA
rnacentral:misc_RNA from 1 species